rnacentral:rRNA from 1 species
AGUUUGAUCCUGGCUCAGGACGAACGCUGGCGGCGUGCUUAACACAUGCAAGUCGAACGGAAAGGCCUCUUCGGAGGUACUCGAGUGGCGAACGGGUGAGUAACACGUGGGCAAUUUGCCCUGCACUUCGGGAUAAGCCUGGGAAACUGGGUCUAAUACCGGAUAGGACCUUUAGACGCAUGUCUUUUGGUGGAAAGCUUUUGCGGUGUGGGAUGGGCCCGCGGCCUAUCAGCUUGUUGGUGGGGUGAUGGCCCACCAAGGCGACGACGGGUAGCCGGCCUGAGAGGGUGUCCGGCCACACUGGGACUGAGAUACGGCCCAGACUCCUACGGGAGGCAGCAGUGGGGAAUAUUGCACAAUGGGCGCAAGCCUGAUGCAGCGACGCCGCGUGGGGGAUGACGGCCUUCGGGUUGUAAACCUCUUUCACCAUCGACGAAGGUCCGGGUUUUCUCGGAUUGACGGUAGGUGGAGAAGAAGCACCGGCCAACUACGUGCCAGCAGCCGCGGUAAUAC